UACGUAGGCAGCAAGCGUUGUUCGGAAUUACUGGGCGUAAAGAGCGCGCAGGCGGUCGUGCAAGUCGCGUGUGAAAGCCCCCGGCUCAACUGGGGAGGGUCACGCGAUACUGAUCGACUCGAAGGCAGGAGAGGGUAGUGGAAUUCCCGGUGUAGUGGUGAAAUGCGUAGAUAUCGGGAGGAACACCAGUGGCGAAGGCGACUACCUGGCCUGUUCUUGACGCUGAGGCGCGAAAGCUAGGGGAGCAAACGGG
rnacentral:rRNA from 1 species